GCUUAAAACUCAAAGGACUUGGCGGUGCUUUAUACCCCUCUAGAGGAGCCUGUUCUAUAAUCGAUAAACCCCGAUAAACCUCACCACCUUUUGCUAAUCCAGUCUAUAUACCGCCAUCUUCAGCAAACCCUUAAAAGGCAGAAUAGAAAGCACAAUCAUUUUAUAUAAAAAAGUUAGGUCAAGGUGUA
rnacentral:rRNA from 1 species